rnacentral:rRNA from 1 species
UACAGAGGGUGCGAGCGUUGUCCGGAAUCACUGGGCGUAAAGGGCGCGUAGGCGGCCCGCUAAGUCGAACGUGAAAUCCCCAGGCUCAACCUGGGAACUGCGUCCGAUACUGGAUGGCUUGAGUUCGGGAGAGGGAUGCGGAAUUCCAGGUGUAGCGGUGAAAUGCGUAGAUAUCUGGAGGAACACCGGUGGCGAAGGCGGCAUCCUGGACCGGCAUUGACGCUGAGGCGCGAAAGCCAGGGAGCAA